GACGAACGCUGGCGGCGUGCUUAACACAUGCAAGUCGAACGGAAAGGCCCUGCUUUUGUGGGGUGCUCGAGUGGCGAACGGGUGAGUAACACGUGAGUAACCUGCCCUUGACUUUGGGAUAACUUCAGGAAACUGGGGCUAAUACCGGAUAGGAGCUCCUGCUGCAUGGUGGGGGUUGGAAAGUUUCGGCGGUUGGGGAUGGACUCGCGGCUUAUCAGCUUGUUGGUGGGGUAGUGGCAUACCAAGGCUUUGACGGGUAGCCGGCCUGAGAGGGGGACCGGCGACAAUGGGACUGAGAUACGGACCAGACGCCUACGGGAGGCAGCAGUGGAGAAUAUUGCACAAUGGGCGGAAGCGUGAUACAGCAACGCCGCGUGCGGGAUGACGGCCUUCGGGUUGUAAACCGCUUUCGCCGGUGACGAAGCGGGCGUGACGGUAAUUGGUAAAGAAGCACCGGCUAACUACGUG
rnacentral:rRNA from 1 species